rnacentral:rRNA from 1 species
GACGAACGCUGGCGGCGUGCCUAAUACAUGCAAGUAGAACGCUGAAGGGGGAGCUUGCUUCUCUGGAUGAGUUGCGAACGGGUGAGUAACGCGUAGGUAACCUGCCUGGUAGCGGGGGAUAACUAUUGGAAACGAUAGCUAAUACCGCAUAAUAGCAGUUGUUGCAUGACAACUGUUUGAAAGGUGCAAUUGCACCACUACCAGAUGGACCUGCGUUGUAUUAGCUAGUUGGUGGGGUAACGGCUCACCAAGGCGACGAUACAUAGCCGACCUGAGAGGGGGAUCGGCCACACUGGGACUGAGACACGGCCCAGACUCCUACGGGAGGCAGCAGUAGGGAAUCUUCGGCAAUGGACGGAAGUCUGACCGAGCAACGCCGCGUGAGGGAAGAAGGUUGUCGGAUCGUAAAGCUCUGUUGUAAGAGAAGAACGAGUGUGAGAGUGGAAAGUUCACACUGUGACGGUAUCUUACCAGAAAGGGACGGCUAACUACGUG